ACAUUUUUAAAAAUAGUUUUAAAAUAUAAAAUUAAAAAUAUAUUCUACCAAAUAUUUCCUCUUUUCAAAAUAUCCUUUAAAACAUCCUUUUUGAGUGCAUAUACUCUUCCUGCCUUUCCCAUAAUUUAUCCCUUGCCGCCACGCCCCCUUGAAAUUCGCCCAAAAACGACAGCUAAUUGCUGUGACGCCGGCAGCGCAGUGGCAGAAGUGCAUUCCGCUUACUUGUGUGCGUGCAUUAAAAAAAGCGCCACAAAAAAUAUGGUGAAUAAAUAGUUCCACGUGUAUUAGUGUGCAUUGUUCUAGGCUUGCAACUGUAUUAGUCACUUUGAGUGACUUUAAUGAGAGAGUGGUUUUUUAGGAAUAGUGAGCUGCAUUGGGAGGACUCAAAUUUUUGGCAGCUCGUCGCGCAGCUUGGCAAUUUUUUUAUCAACGCGCGCUGCACUCGAAAUGCAAUGCCAUAAUUGCAGUGCACUUCGGCUCUCUCUCUCUCUCUUGACUCUCCCUCUCUUUAUGCGUGUGUGUGUGAGUGCGGCUUACCCCGUUACUCCUAAAGUUCUCGCGUCUGCGCUCUGUGUAAAUAACUCAAAGAGAGAGGACACUCAUUCUAGUUUUUUGCAAUAUGCAGUUCUGCCAUGUAACUGUGUAUGUGUGUGAGUUAAAUUUUUUUUGUUGGUUUUUUGCACGACGGAGACGACGACGUCGACGUCAGUAGUCGGCACUGUGCUGGUGUCUUCGUGUUGUUGUGAUAUAAUUUUGCAGUCGGCUUCGGCAGUCGCAUAAACACAACGCAUCCGAUAUGCAACGGAACGCAUUUUCGGACGCGGCCCGAGUCGUUCCGAGGUGUAGCGUCCGAUUCCGAUUUCGAUUCCGAUUCCGACGAUCGCGUAUAUCAAUCGUAAAGCAUUAAGCGCAUUGCCCAUUUACACGCAGUCCAUAGGCGAAAAUCGUUUGCCAUUGAUAAUAAAACAUACGACAUUCUUUCGGCCAAAAAAUAUUAAUAUCCAAAUAUAUAUCUACUAUAUAUGAGAUAUUGGCAAACCAAAAUACAAAAUAUUUAAACAAAAACAACAAAUACAACAACAAUAACAACAACAACAACAACAACAACGGCAACACUUUUGUUAGUAAAUUUCUGUUGAAUUAAAAUACGAAAAAAAA